UACAGAGGUGGCAAGCGUUGUUCGGAAUUACUGGGCGUAAAGGGCGCGUAGGCGGCCUUCUAAGUCAGACGUGAAAUCCCCCGGCUUAACCUGGGAACUGCGUCUGAUACUGGAGGGCUUGAGUAUGGGAGAGGGAUGUAGAAUUCCGGGUGUAGCGGUGGAAUGCGUAGAGAUCCGGAAGAACACCGGUGGCGAAGGCGGCCUGCUGGGCAGUUUUGCUGACACUGAGGCGCGACAGCGUGGGGAGCAAACAGG
rnacentral:rRNA from 1 species